GAUGAACGCUGGCGGCGUGCCUAAUACAUGCAAGUCGAGCGAACAGACGAGGAGCUUGCUCCUCUGACGUUAGCGGCGGACGGGUGAGUAACACGUGGAUAACCUACCUAUAAGACUGGGAUAACUUCGGGAAACCGGAGCUAAUACCGGAUAAUAUAUUGAACUGCAUGGUUCAAUAGUGAAAGACGGUUUUGCUGUCACUUAUAGAUGGAUCCGCGCCGCAUUAGCUAGUUGGUAAGGUAACGGCUUACCAAGGCAACGAUGCGUAGCCGACCUGAGAGGUGGAUGGGCAACACGGGAACGGAAAAACGGUCCAGACCCCUAGGGGAGGCAGAGGUGGGGAAUCUUCCGAAAGGGCGAAAGCCUGACGGAGCAACGCCGCGUGAGUGAUGAAGGUCUUCGGAUCGUAAAACUCUGUUAUUAGGGAAGAACAAAUGUGUAAGUAACUAUGCACGUCUUGACGGUACCUAAUCAGAAAGCCACGGCUAACUACGUG
rnacentral:rRNA from 1 species